AUUGAACGCUGGCGGCAGGCCUAACACAUGCAAGUCGAACGAGUGGCGGACGGGUGAGUAAUGUCUGGGAAACUGCCUGAUGGAGGGGGAUAACUACUGGAAACGGUAGCUAAUACCGCAUACCAUCAGAUGUGCCCAGAUGGGAUUAGCUUGUUGGUGGGGUAACGGCUCACCAAGGCGACGAGCGCUAGCUGGGCUGCGAGGAUUACCAGCCACGCUGUAACUGAGACACGGUCCAGAAUCCUACGGUAGGCAGCAGUGUGGAAUAUUGCACAAUGGGCGCAAGCCUGAUGCAGCCAUGGCGCGUGUAUGGAGAAGGCCUUCGGGUUGUAAAGUACUUUCAGCGGGGAGGCGUUACCCGCAGGUAAAGCACCGGCUAACUCCGUGCCAGCAGGCACGGUGAUAC
rnacentral:rRNA from 1 species